UGGCCUCCCAAAGUGCUGGGAUUACAGCAUGAGCCACCACUCACAGCCUAUGUUUUCUUACAUCAAAAAUAAAAUCUCAGAGAUUUUGCAUUCUUUAAUGAAUUCUGCAUUGUGUAACACGAGUUAUUACUGCAUUAUGGCUUUGUUUUUUAAAGGAGAAUUUUCCAACUCUUUUGAAACUCCCCUGCAUCUGCUGUCCAUAUCUUCAUCACAUUAUCUUUCCACAUUCUCCUUCCUGUCUCCCUUUCAGUCAUUCUUUCCCUUUUUGCUCAUCAUUAUUCCAACCUAGUUCUUCAUAUCUCACUUUUCUCCAAUGCAGGAUGAUUUUCUCCCUUCUUGGCCAGAAGUGGAUGUUGUAUAUGAAAUCUUGUCACAAAUGGAGGAAAUUUCCAGCCAUUUAAAAUAAAUCAGGAAAACAGACCUGCUGAUCUGAAUGUAGUUUAUCUUUUGCAACAAGAGUGACUCUGUGGAAUGCUCAAAUAUAUUUCUAUUCCAGAAAGUCAGUCUUCAUCUAUUGAUGAUUAUAGAUUGCAUAAGCAUAGCACUUUUCACAUGUUCCCUGAUUUGCAUUCCUUCUAUUCAAUAAUUCAUUCCAUAGCCCAUACAACACAAUAUCUCAUUGUCAAUUUUUAAUAUCUCUACCUUGGUUUCAAUCCAUCAUUCUAUCUGAAAUAGCAAAACCUCACUACAGUCAUGCUCUGUGUUAGUUCAUUUUUUGCUGCUUGUAACAGAAUACUUAAAACUGGAUAAUUUAUAAAGAAAAGGAAUUUGUUUAUAACUUAGAGUUAUGGAGGCUGGAAAGUCUGAGGUAGAGAGAACAUAUCUGGUGAAAGCCUUCUUGCUGGUGGAGCAACAGGCGGCAUCACAUGGUGAGGGGACUGAACAUGUUAGUUCAGGUCUCUCUUCUUCUCAUAAAGCUACCAGUCCUGGAUGUGAGGGUGAUCUGUCUGUGACAUCUGCCACCCCAUUGAUAGCCCGAGUUGACUUGGCUGAUCUGGCCAGCUAGGCGGUUGUCCCCUUCCUCCCUCACCACUCCAUGUGUGUCCCUCCCAAAGCUGUGCUCGGUGAAAGAGGAUUACCAUCCCUGAUAGAAGAGGACUGGUCUUCGGUCAAGGGUAUACGGGCAACUGCGCUCCCCUGCUAGAACCUCCAAACAAGCUCUCAAGGUCCACCAGUCCCACUCCCAUGAUAACCCAUUAAUCCAUUGACCCAUUAAUCCAUGAGUGGAUUAAUCUAUUCACGAGGGAAGAUACCUCAUGACCCAAUCACCUCUUAAAUGAUAUGAAAUGAAUAUACCUCAUGACCCUCCUCACCUCUCAGUGCUGCCACAUUGGGGAUUAAGUUUCAACAUGAAUUUUUUUUUUCUUGAGAUAGAGUGUUGUUCUGUCACCCACGCUAGAGUGCAGUGGCGCUAUCUUGCCUCACUGCAACUUCCGCCUCCUGGGUUCAAGCAAUUCUCGAGCUUCAGCCUCUCCAUAGCUGGGAUUAUAGGU
rnacentral:lncRNA from 1 species